CAGCAGCCGCGGUAAUACGUAGGGUGCAAGCGUUAAUCGGAAAUACUGGGCGUAAAGCGUGCGCAGGCGGUUAUAUAAGUCAGAUGUGAAAUCCCCGGGCUCAACCUGGGAACUGCAUUUGAGACUGUAUGGCUAGAGUGUGUCAGAGGGGGGUAGAAUUCCACGUGUAGCAGUGAAAUGCGUAGAUAUGUGGAGGAGUACCGAUGGCGAAGGCAGCCCCCUGAGAUAACACUGACGCUCAUGCACGAAAGCGUGGGGAGCAAACAGGAUUAGAUACCCCAGUAGUCCCUGUCUCUUAUAC
rnacentral:rRNA from 1 species